GGAGUUUGGACCGUGUCUCAGUUCCAAUGUGGGGGACCUUCCUCUCAGAACCCCUAGACAUCGUAGCCUUGGUGUGCCGUUACCACUCCAACUAGCUAAUGUCUCGCGAGCCCAUCCGUAUCCGACGGAUCUUUCAAACAAGGAUCAUGCGGUCCCUGUUGUUAUGGGUUAUUAGGCGACGUUUCCAUCGGUUAUCACCCGGAUACGGGCAAGUUGCUCACGCGUUACGCACCCUUUCGCCGGUCGCCGCCAGUGUAUUGCUACACCGCGCUGCCCCUCGACUUGCAUGUGUUAAGCCUGCCGCUAGCGUUCAUC
rnacentral:rRNA from 1 species